ensembl:snoRNA U3 Small nucleolar RNA U3
UGGACUAUACUUUCAUUUCUAUAGUUCCAUACAUCAUUUCUAUAGUUUGUCACUAGAGAAGUUUCUCCGAACAUGUAGAGCACCAGAAACUAAGAGGAGGAGGCACCACAUUCUUUCCUGAGUGUAAAGCCAGUUCUUGGUGUGACUUCACUGCAACUGCCAUUUGCCAUUUCUUCUCUCCCUUGGGGUAGCGAGAGGGAGAGCUUGCUGUCCGAGUGGU